rnacentral:tRNA from 1 species
GCCUCGGUGGCGAAACUGGUAGACGCAGCAGACUCAAAAUCUGCCAUUCGCAAGGAUGUGCCGGUUCGAUUCCGGCCCGGGGCACAA